rnacentral:rRNA from 1 species
AACGAACGCUGGCGGCAGGCCUAACACAUGCAAGUCGAGCGACCAUUUCGGUGCUAGCUGCGGACGGGUGAGUAACGCGUGGGAACGUGCCCUUUUCUGCGGAAUAGUCCUGGGAAACUGGGGGUAAUACCGCAUACGCCCUUUUGGGGACAGAUUUAUCGUAGAAGGGUCGGCCCGCGUUGGAUUAGGUAGUUGGUGUGGUAAUGGCCCACCAAGCCGACGAUCCAUAGCUGGUUUGAGAGGAUGAUCAGCCACACUGGGACUGAGACACGGCCCAGACUACUACGGGAGGCAGCAGUGGGGAAUCUUAGACAAUGGGGGCAACCCUGAUCUAGCCAGGCCGCGUGAGUGAUGAAGGCCUUAGGGUUGUAAAGCUGUUUCAGCUGGGAAGAUAAUGACGGUACCAGAAGAAGAAGCCCCGGCUAACUCCGUG